rnacentral:rRNA from 1 species
GAACGAUGACUCUCUAGCUUGCUAGAGAUGAUUAGUGGCGGACGGGUGAGUAACAUUUAGGAAUCUGCCUAGUAGUGGGGGAUAGCUCGGGGAAACUCGAAUUAAUACCGCAUACGACCUACGGGUGAAAGGGGGCGCAAGCUCUUGCUAUUAGAUGAGCCUAAAUCAGAUUAGCUAGUUGGUGGGGUAAAGGCCCACCAAGGCGACGAUCUGUAACUGGUCUGAGAGGAUGAUCAGUCACACCGGAACUGAGACACGGUCCGGACUCCUACGGGAGGCAGCAGUGGGGAAUAUUGGACAAUGGGGGCAACCCUGAUCCAGCCAUGCCGCGUGUGUGAAGAAGGCCUUUUGGUUGUAAAGCACUUU